rnacentral:rRNA from 1 species
GACAGAGGUGCCGAGCGUUAGGCGGAAUCACUGGGCUUAAAGCGUGUGUAGGCGGAUCGUUAAGUACCUUGUGAAAUCCCAUGGCUCAACCAUGGAACUGCUUGGUAUACUGGCGGUCUUGAGCCAGCUAGGGGCUACCGGAACAAAUGGUGGAGCGGUGAAAUGCGUAGAUAUCAUUUGGAACGCCAAUGGUGAAAACAGGUAGCUGGGGCUGUGCUGACGCUGAGGCACGAAGGCCAGGGGAGCAAACGGG